rnacentral:rRNA from 1 species
AGCGACUUCAGAGUUUGAUCCUGGCUCAGGAUGAGCGCUGGCGGCGUGCAUAACACAUUCAAGUCGAACGGAGUAAUUCCUUCGGGGAUUGCUUAGUGGCGGACGGGUGAGUAACGCGUGAGCAACCUGCCCUUGUGUGGGGGACAACAGUUGGAAACGACUGCUAAUACCGCAUAAUGCAUCUCGAUCGCAUGUUUGAGAUGCCAAAGAUUUAUUGCGCAAGGAUGGGCUCGCGUUGGAUUAGAUAGUUGGUGAGGUAACGGCUCACCAAGUCGACGAUCCAUAGCCGGACUGAGAGGUUGAACGGCCACAUUGGAACUGAGAAACGGUCCAG